GAGUUUGAUCCUGGCUCAGAGCGAACGCUGGCGGCAGGCCUAACACAUGCAAGUCGAACGAACUCUUCGGAGUUAGUGGCGGACGGGUGAGUAACACGUGGGAACGUGCCUUUUGGUUCGGAAUAACUCAGGGAAACUUGUGCUAAUACCGAAUGUGCCCUUCGGGGAAGGAUUUAUCGCCAUUAGAGCGGCCCGCGUCUGAUUAGCUAGUUGGUGAGGUAAAGGCUCACCAAGGCGACGAUCAGUAGCUGGUCUGAGAGGAUGAUCAGCCACAUUGGGACUGAGACACGGCCCAAACUCCUACGGGAGGCAGCAGUGGGGAAGUCUUGCGCAAUGGGCGAAAGCCUGACGCAGCCAUGCCGCGUGAAUGAUGAAGGUCUUAGGAUUGUAAAAUUCUUUCACCGGGGACGAUAAUGACGGUACCCGGAGAAGAAAGCCCCGGCUAACUUCGUGCCAGCCGCCGCGGUAAG
rnacentral:rRNA from 1 species